rnacentral:rRNA from 1 species
UUAUCGGUACGGGUUGUGGGAGCAAGAUCCUGGAGAUGGAUUCUGAGACAUGAAUCCAGGCCCUACGGGGCGCAGCAGGCGCGCAAACUUUACAAUGCGAGCAAUCGUGAUAAGGAAACCCUGAGUGCCUGUCGAUGCAGGCUGUUCAUAUAUUUAAAUUGUAUGUGAAGAAAGGGCAGGGCAAGACCGGUGCCAGCCGCCGCGGUAAUACCGGCUGCUCGAGUGAUGGCCACUAUUACUGGGUUUAAAGCGUCCGUAGCUUGAUUUUUAGGUCUCUUGGGAAAUCUUUUGGCUUAACCACAAGGCGUCUAAGAGAUACCGGGAAUCUUGGAACUGGGAGAGGUAAGCCGUACUUCGGGGGUAGGAGUGAAAUCUUGUAAUCCUCGAGGGACGACCUAUGGCGAAGGCAGCUUACCAGAACAGCUUCGACAGUGAGGGACGAAAGCUGGGGGAGCAAACGGGAUUAGAUACCCCGGUAGUCCCAGCCGUAAACAAUGUGCGUUAGGUGUGUCGGUUAUCACGCGUAACUGAUGCGCCGAAGAGAAAUCGUGAAACGCAUCACCUGGGAAGUACGGUCGCAAGGCUGAAACUUAAAGGAAUUGGCGGGGGAGCACCACAACAGGUGGAGCCUGCGGUC